CCUACGGGAGGCAGCAGUGGGGGAUAUUGGACAAUGGGGGAAACCCUGAUCCAGCGCCGCCGCGUGAGUGAAGAAGUAUUUCGGUAUGUAAAGCUCUAUCAGCAGGGAAGAAAGAAAUGACGGUACCUGAAUAAGACGCCCCGGCUAACUACGUGCCAGCAGCCGCGGUAAUACGUAGGGGGCAAGCGUUAUCCGUAAUUACUGGGUGUAAAGGGAGCGUAGACGGUAAUGCAAGUCUGGAGUGAAAGGCGGGGGCCCAACCCCCGGACUGCUCUGGAAACUGUGUAACUGGAGUGCGGGAGAGGCAGGCGGAAUUCCUGGUGUAGCGGUGAAAUGCGUAGAUAUUAGGAGGAACACCAGUGGCGAAGGCGGCCUGCUGGACUGUAACUGACGUUGAGGCUCGAAAGCGUGGGGAGCAAACAGGAUUAGAUACCCCGGUAGUC
rnacentral:rRNA from 1 species